rnacentral:misc_RNA from 1 species
GAUAACUUUUGACCUAAACUAUUUGUCAUUUUUAAGCUUGAAAGAAAACAAUUCUACAAUGAUUUGAUAGAGUAGCAAGAGUUAAUGAAUAUGCUUUCAAGUUACAGGUGAGAACACAACUGAAAUUAGGAUUUGGGCCUUAAAGCCAGACCUGUCUCAACUUUCUUGAUUUCAAAUAUAAGCAUCCUCCACAUCUUCAGAACAAACAUUUCAGCUUCUUCAUCUAAUAUACUUUGGAGCCUCUCCAGCAUCUCAGUUGCCUUGACAUGUUCUUGAGUGCUGGAGACGAUGUAGUCUACCAGCGUCGGCUCCUCCUCACCAAGGAAAUCAGUGAUCUUCUUACUGAUCCACGGUCUCAUCCUUUCAUGUAAUGCAUUCUUGUCAUAAGUAGCCCAGUUUAUCUCAUAAGAGAACAACUCAUCUUUGGUCUUUGGAAUCAUGUCAAUCAAUUGCUUUGCAUCUAAAAGCUUCUGAUUAUCAGGUGUCUUAACCUUAUCAGGUCUAGUUUCCCGAACUCUGCCAUGAUCAAGGUUUCUACCGUCAUCCCUGGUUCGGUUAGUCUCCUCGUCAUGCCUGUCCCGAUCCCUCUGGCUGGAUCUGUCAUGAGUUCUUCUGUGUCUCUCCUUCUCUAUAUCAGGCCUCUCUUCUUUAGCAUUGACAUUUGAAAUUCGCUUUGCAAAUUCUGCAGCCAUAGUCGGCGAUGCUACAGAGAUGGAAGGUUGGACCAUAUGUUCGUCAGCUGAGUAGUCAAUUGGAACCAAUGGCCUCAUUUUCUUUUCUUUUUGAGUAUCCUCAUCCUCAUCCGCAUUGAAGAAAGAAGGGACAGCAGCUCUUUUUCCUGACCCUGAGAGGCCAAAUUCUAACCUUUUUGUAGGGGCAUUGCUAUUAUGCCUCAUGUCUGAUGUUGCAGUAACUGCACGCACGGAUUCUUCAUCAGUCCCAUUUUGUGCAACUCCUUCACCCUGGCUUAAAUUAAAAUGAGCUGUCUCGAUAUUCUUAUCUUGGCUAUCAAGAUUGUUUUCCUCAUAUGAAAUAACUUUUUCACGUCCAUUGGCUAGAUGACCAGAAAGGAUUUUCAAUGCCUCCUCCUGUUCUUUUUUCUGAUGUUCCUCGUCUGCUCUUCUCUUAGCCUCAGCAAUCUCUUCUUCUUCUUUAAACCUGUCAGCCAAGUCAUCUUCCUUCUCUCUCUGCCGUCUUUUCCUCUCCUCGUCACUAGUCCUGUGUUUUCUUUUCCUAUAACCAUCUUCACAUUCACGUUCUUGUUCCACUAUAUCCCAUUUCCGUUCCUGAGCCCUUUCUUUCUCCCUUUCUCUCUCUCUUUUUCGCCAAUGUUCCCUCUCCCUUUCUCUUGUUUCCCACUCUUUUUCACGGGACUUGUACCUACGGUCAUCUUCGCGGGUCUUGUACUCUCUCUCCUUCUCUCUCUUGGCUCGUUCUUGUUCACGUUCUCUCUCAUACCUUUCGAGUUCCCUUUCCUUUUCCCUCUUCAAAUCCCUCUCCCUAUCCCUGCUUCUCCUAUCAUGCCUACGAUGGUCCGGUGAGCUAAUCUCGGCCUUGUCAUGCUCACUUGAAGUUUUACUUUCGUUGACAUCAUCAUUUUUUUCUUCAUUUUUUGCUGUAUCUCUACCUGGUUCUCCAUCUUUGAGGUCUUCCGUAUAUGAGUUAUCAGAACCAUCUUUAGGUGCUUGUGGAGGUGGAGGUGGAGGUGGUAAUGGUUUAUUCUUCAGCCUUUCCUCGAUCAUAUCCUUGAGCUUCUCCAAGGCCUCUUUGUCAGCUUGCCUAUCUUCGUCAGUGACCAGACCAAAGUUAGCAGCAUCAAGAUUUUCUUUGUUCCCUUUAUCACCACUAUCUUGCUUUGAUUCUUCUGUACUAGACUCAGGAGGUUCAGCGGUCGUCUUUGGAUUUUCAUUUGUCUCCCCACCUAAUGCACUUUCUCCUUCUUUCUCAGUGCCUUCACUUUCAGAUUCUUUGGGUUUCUUUGAGUUCUCUGCUUUCUUUUCAACAUACCGUUCAAGGAAAUCGCGAGUUGCUUGAUUGACAUUUAACAUUAGCUCCUGCCCAUCGAUGUUUAAUUUGUUGAGCAAUCUUAAUGCACGGAGAACCCCCUCAGCAGACUCAAACUCACAAAACCCAAAACCUUUAAGUGAUCCAUUAGUCGGAUCUUGAGCACGCUUCCAACUCCUAACAGGCCCGCAGAGCUGCAAAAGAGAAAGCAUAAAAUCAUUUUCUGCAGUGGACGAUAUCUUGCCAACAUAAACUGUUGUUUGUGGUUUCUCUGUUUGAGUAAUGCUUGGGAUGGCAGCUGGCCUGGCAACAGGAGGAAUGAUUGGAGGACGCAUCAUAGGGAUUGGAGGGCGCAUCAAGGGAGGAAUAAUGCCAACUGCACCAAGUGGGCGUGGAGGAAAAACUGGUCGAGCCAUCUGUGUGUACGGUGAUGCAUAACGCGGAAUUCCUGCAUAAAUGGACAAAGGAGUCUAGGAAUAUUUAUUAGGCCAAGCUUACAAAGCAGAGACAAGUCUACCACUCAACACCUACGUCUCAUUCACAAAAGAAAACUGUAAGGCUGAACAAAUGUUAUUACCAAACAUUACAAGCAUUAUGAGAUGGCACCAUAGGCAUGAGAACACUCACGAGCUGAACAGAUAACCUGAAGGAUCAAGAUAAUAACGUCUAUUUCAUAAAUCACUAACAUGUGAAUAGGGCUUACCUUAUGCAUCCACUUGCAAAGAAAUCUGAUCUAACUGUCCAAAUUCCAAGAAUGAUUUGCAAGGUUUGAAUACAUUAAGAUGAGACUUCCAGCGUCUCAUCAUCAGUAAUGCAAUUGAUAGCAUGAUAAAGUAUUUUAAGACAAUCUUUCCACAUGUCAAACAUUAACAUCAUCAUGUACAGCAGAAAAAUAGCCGGAAGGACAACACAAGCAGGUAAAAUGAAAAGAUUGUGAUACCUUGGUGUAUAGGCUACUUGCAUUCAGUUGUUAACAAGGUCUGCUGCCAGCAUUUCAAGAAUCAAGAUCCCAACAAAGGGGUAGUACCCUUACUACUAAAAGUAAAUCUACUGUAGUACACGCAUAUUCAGACAUUACAUAACAUAGAAAAUUAUAUGUCCAUGGUGAGAAAGAUCCACUUUUGGUACUUCACAGAAAAUAGAUGUGCUCGAAAGCAAAUGACCUUGUAAUGAUAAAUGAAAAUAAAAACAAAAACAAGCAAACGUGCUCAUACCAAAAAAGCAGUUGGAGUACUCAGUAGUCUCUAAUGAACAGCAAUAUGAAGCCUUCCCACCUUUCUCACCGAAACCAUUCAAGAAACGGGAUGAAUCAUGGCGCCCUGUGGAGCAGGUUGAGGCAUAGCAUGGUAACCGUUAGGCAUAGGAGCGUAUGGUCUCACCAUCUGUCCAGGCAUAGCAUAAGGUGGCAUAAUUUGCGGCGCCGAACCCAUCUGGACAGCUCCAGCACCAGCUGUAGGUGCUGGAAUCAUCGACGGCGGCACAGAAUUCACUCCGGGAGGCUGAACCGAAGGAUUCGGAAAAUUCAAUGUUUGCUGCUGCAAGUUAGGGUUAGGAAGAGGCGAGAACAUAGGAGCUACACCAACACCAGGUAGUGGUGCUGGUGGCGUCGCCGGACGAAACGACGGAGGUGUACCGGAGUAAGGCUGGAUCAACGGCGGAGGUGGUGGCAGAGGUGAAGAUAACGACGGUGCCGGAGAUGGAUCUGAUUGCGAGGUUUUGUUGUCAGAUUCUGUCAGUGGUUGUGAAUUUGCGACGGCGGAAUUUUCCGGCGAAGGAGCUGAAUCCGCCAUGGAUGUGGAAAUUGGUAGCCGAAGAUUGUGGGUUUGGGAGUGAG